rnacentral:rRNA from 1 species
AACGAACGCUGGCGGCAUGCCUAUCACAUGCAAGUCGAACGAGACCUUCGGGUCUAGUGGCGCACGGGUGCGUAACGCGUGGGAACCUGCCCUUAGGUUCGGAAUAACUCCCCGAAAGGGGUGCUAAUACCGGUUAAUGUCUUCGGACCAAAGAUUUAUCGCCUUUGGAUGGGCCCGCGUUGGAUUAGCUAGUUGGUAGGGUAAAAGCCUACCAAGGCAACGAUCCAUAGCUAGUCUGAGAGGAUGAUCAGCCACACUGGGACUGAGACACGGCCCAGACUCCUACGGGAGGCAGCAGUGGGGAAUAUUGGACAAGGGGCGAAAGCCUGAUACAGCAAUGCCGGGUGAGUGAUGAAGGCCUUAGGGUUGUAAAGCUCUUUUACCCGGGAUGAUAAUGACAGUACCGGGAGAAUAAGCUCCGGCUAACUCCGUG